UGUCUGUACCACUUCCAAUCUCAAACAAACUGUCUACCAUUAAAGAUAUGAAAACAAUCAAUUUUGUGGUCCCUGAGCUCGUCGAUAUCCUGUGUGGAAGGCCAUUUAUGAUGGGAGCUCGUACGCUUGAACGUCAAAAUGGAAACCUAAAGGAGAUAUUUCGGUGGCUACUGAAAGACCUCAACUGUGCGACCACUUCAACUUGAAUUCAAGGAUGCAGGUACUCUCAAUUGUAGACGCUUCAAUAAGACUUUUAUCCAUCAAUAGUUGGUGAGACCUCCUCACUUCUGGAGGGCUCCAGUUUGGUUAGAUUAGUAUAUCUACUUUUGAGUUAUGUUUACUUAAGUGGUCAGGUCGCCAUGGAUUUUAUCUCGGCACCUAUUACAGUUUAGUAGAGGCUUCAUGGACAGAGUUAAUAAGUCAGUUUAGUGUAUUCAUUCAAAUAUUUUUAGACAUUAUUUGUUAUUUAUAUU